rnacentral:pre_miRNA from 1 species
CCCACACCCAUGUAUGUAGGAUCCCAAAGGAUCACCAUUAAAUUUGACACAGAUCUCUAGAAAAGUUAUCACAUAAAUGUGGGACUUGACUUUUCUAGAGAUCUGUAUCAUAUUUAAUAGAGAUCCUUUGGGGUCCCAUAUAUAUGGGUGUGAG